GGCUCAGGACGAACGCUGGCGGCGUGCCUAAUACAUGCAAGUCGAACGGUCUUUCUAUGGAAGCUUGCUUCCACUGAGAAGAUAGUGGCGAACGGGUGAGUAACACGUGGGUAACCUGCCCAUAAGAGGGGGAUAACAUCCGGAAAACGGGUGCUAAUACCGCAUAGUUUUCUUGAUCGCAUGAUCGGGAAAGGAAAGACGACCUUUGUGCUGUCGCUUAUGGAUGGACCCGCGGCGUAUUAGUUAGUUGGUGAGGUAACGGCUCACCAAGACGAUGAUACGUAGCCGACCUGAGAGGGUGAUCGGCCACAUUGGGACUGAGACACGGCCCAAACUCCUACGGGAGGCAGCAGUAGGGAAUCUUCCGCAAUGGACGAAAGUCUGACGGAGCAACGCCGCGUGAGUGAAGAAAAGGUUUUCGGAUCGUAAAACUCUGUUGUCAGAGAAGAACAAGUUGGAGAGUAACUGCUCCAGCCUUGACGGUAUCUGACCAGAAAGCCACGGCUAACUACGUGCCAGCCGCCGC
rnacentral:rRNA from 1 species